rnacentral:rRNA from 1 species
GAACGUACGCUGGCGGCACGCCUAACACAUGCAAGUCGAACGAAGUAGCAAUACUUAGUGGCAGACGGGUGAGUAACAUGUGGGUAUCUGCCCUUUGGCCUGGAAUAACACGAGGAAACUUGUGCUAAUACCGGAUAAGUCUUUACGGAGAAAGCUUUAUGCACCAUUGGAUGAGCCUGCACUUGAUUAGUUUGUUGGUGGGGUAAUGGCCUACCAAGACUGUGAUCAAUAGCUGAUUUGAGAGGAUGAUCAGCCACAUUGGGACUGAGACACGGCCCAAACUCCUACGGGAGGCAGCAGUGGGGAAUCUUGCACAAUGGAGGAAACUCUGAUGCAGCGAUGCCGCGUGAGUGAAGAAGGCCCUUGGGUUGUAAAGCUCUUUCGUCGGGGAAGAAAAUGACUGUACCCGAAUAAGAAGGUCCGGCUAACUUCGUGCCAGCAGCCGCGGUAAUACGAAGGGACCUAGCGUAGUUCGGAAUUACUGGGCUUAAAGAGUUCGUAGGUGGUUGAAAAAGUUAGUGGUGAAAUCCCAGAGCUUAACUCUGGAACUGCCAUUAAAACUUUUCAGCUAGAGUAUGAUAGAGGAAAGCAGAAUUUCUAGUGUAGAGGUGAAAUUCGUAGAUAUUAGAAAGAAUACCAAUUGCGAAGGCAGCUUUCUGGAUCAUUACUGACACUGAGGAACGAAAGCAUGGGUAGCGAAGAGGAUUAGAUACCCUCGUAGUCCAUGCCGUAAACGAUGUGUGUUAGACGUUGGAAAUUUAUUUUCAGUGUCGCAGCGAAAGCGAUAAACACACCGCCUGGGGAGUACGACCGCAAGGUUAAAACUCAAAUGAAUUGACGGGGACCCGCACAAGUAGUGGAGCAUGUGGUUUAAUUCGAAGAUACGCGCAGAACCUUACCAACACUUGACAUGUUCGUCGCGACUCUAAGAGAUUAGAGUUUUCGGUUCGGCCGGACGAAACACAGGUGCUGCAUGGCUGUCGUCAGCUCGUGUCGUGAGAUGUUGGGUUAAGUCCCGCAACGAGCGCAACCCUCACUUUUAGUUGCCAUCAUUAAGUUGGGCACUCUGAAAGAACUGCCAGUGAUAAGCUGGAGGAAGGUGGGGAUGACGUCAAGUCCUCAUGGCCCUUACGUGUUGGGCUACACACGUGCUACAAUGGUAUCUACAACAGGAAGCAAGACUGCGAAGUUAAGCAAAUCCCUAAAAGAUACCUCAGUUCGGAUUGCACUCUGCAACUCGAGUGCAUGAAGCUGGAAUUACUAGUAAUCGUGGAUCAGCGUGCCACGGUGAAUGCGUUCCCGGGUCUUGUACACACCGCC